rnacentral:rRNA from 1 species
CCUACGGGUGGCAGCAGUGAGGAAUAUUGGUCAAUGGGCGCGAGCCUGAACCAGCCAAGUAGCGUGAAGGAUGACUGCCCUACGGGUUGUAAACUUCUUUUAUAAAGGAAUAAAGUGAGGCACGUGUGCCUUUUUGUAUGUACUUUAUGAAUAAGGAUCGGCUAACUCCGUGCCAGCAGCCGCGGUAAUACGGAGGAUCCGAGCGUUAUCCGGAUUUAUUGGGUUUAAAGGGAGCGUAGAUGGGUUGUUAAGUCAGUUGUGAAAGUUUGCGGCUCAACCGUAAAAUUGCAAUUGAUACUGGCAGUCUUGAGUACAGUUGAGGUAGGCGGAAUUCGUGGUGUAGCGGUGAAAUGCUUAGAUAUCACGAAGAACUCCGAUUGCGAAGGCAGUUCACUGGACUGCAACUGACGCUGAGGCACGAAGGCCAGGGGAGCGAAAGGGAUUAGAUACCCUGGUAGUC